rnacentral:rRNA from 1 species
GAUCCUGGCUCAGGAUGAACGCUAGCUACAGGCUUAACACAUGCAAGUCGAGGGGAAACGACAUCGAAAGCUUGCUUUUGAUGGGCGUCGACCGGCGCACGGGUGAGUAACGCGUAUCCAACCUGCCCACCACUUGGGGAUAACCUUGCGAAAGUAAGACUAAUACCCAAUGACAUCCCACGAAGACAUCUGAAUGGGAUUAAAGAUUUAUCGGUGAUGGAUGGGGAUGCGUCUGAUUAGCUUGG